rnacentral:rRNA from 1 species
AAGUCGAACGAAGUAGCAAUACUUAGUGGCAGACGGGUGAGUAACAUGUAGGUAUCUGCCCUUUGGCCUGGAAUAACACGAGGAAACUUGUGCUAAUACUGGAUAAGUCUUUACGGAGAAAGCUUUAUGCACCAUUGGAUGAGCCUGCACUUGAUUAGUUUGUUGGUAGGGUAAUGGCCUACCAAGACUUUGAUCAAUAGCUGAUUUGAGAGGAUGAUCAGCCACAUUGGGACUGAGACACGGCCCAAACCCCUACGGGAGGCAGCAGUGGGGAAUCUUGCACAAUGGAGGAAACUCUGAUGCAGCGAUGCCGCGUGAGUGAAGAAGGCCUUUGGGUUGUAAAGCUCUUUCGUCGGGGAAGAAAAUGACUGUACCCGAAUAAGAAGGUCCGGCUAACUUCGUGCCAGCAGCCGCGGUAAUACGAAGGGACCUAGCGUAGUUCGGGAAUUACUGGGCUUAAAGAGUUCGUAGGUGGUUGAAAAAGUUGGUGGUGAAAUCCCAGAG